rnacentral:rRNA from 1 species
UACCCCACUAUGCCAAGUCGUAAACUUUAAUUUACACCCCCUAAUCGCCAGGAUACUACGAGCUAAGCUUAAAACCCAAAGGACUUGACGGUGCCCCAUACCCCCCUAGAGGAGCCUGUCCUAUAAUUGAUACCCCCCGCUUAACCUCACCAUUCUUUGCCUCUCAGCUUGUAUACUUCCGUCGUCAGCUAACCACAUGAGUGAACCCCAGUAAGCCUAAUGCCCAUUCACCAAAACGUCAGGUCAAAGUGCAGCAAAUAGAGUGGGAACAGAUGGGCUACAUUUUCUAAAUUAGAAAACACGAAAGACUCCGUGAAACCGAAGUCAGAAGGUGGAUUUAGAAGUAAAAAGAAAUUAGAGUGUUCUUUUUAACCCGGCACUGGGGCGUGUACACAC